UACGUAGGGUGCGAGCGUUAAUCGGAAUUACUGGGCGUAAAGCGUGCGCAGGCGGUCCGCAAAGUCUGAUGUGAAAGCCCCGGGCUCAACCUGGGAACUGCAUUGGAAACUAACGGGCUCGAGUGUGGCAGAGGGGGGUGGGAAGUUCCAACUGUGGUAGCAGUGAAAUGCGUAGAGAUGUGGAGGAACACCGAUGGCGAAGGCAGCCCCCUGGGCCAAUACUGACGCUCGAUGCACGAAAGCGUGGGGAGCAAACAGG
rnacentral:rRNA from 1 species